rnacentral:rRNA from 1 species
UACGUAGGGUGCAAGCGUUGCCCGGAUUUAUUGGGCGUAAAGGGCGCGUAGGCGGUCACGCACGUCCGUUGUGAAAUCGCUCGGCUCAACUGGGCGGGGUCAGCGGAUACGGGCGGGCUAGAAUUCGGUAGGGGAGACUGGAAUUCCUGGUGUAGCGGUGAAAUGCGCAGAUAUCUGGAGGAAUACCGGUGGCGAAGGCGGCAUCCUGGACCGACAUUGACGCUGAUGAGCGAAAGCUAGGGGAGCAAACGGG